AAAAAAAAAUUGAUGUAAUUCAAGGAGUGUCCAGUAGGGGGAACUCAAAGGCUGCCGGGAGUAGCUGAAACAAACUAUGCUGUGUGUCACAGCCAAUACAGCUCAGCACGCAGACAGCAGCACGAGUCCGUGUCUCUUUUUUUUAUUAAUAUAUAUUUCCCCCCUUUUCAAGGUGCCUUCUGCAUACCCGUGUAUAUGCCCUACAUCUUGACAGGGAAAUGGAUGCUGGGUAAAGGACUUUGCAAGCUGUGGCUUGUCGUAGACUACCUUCUCUGCACUGCUUCUGUCUUCAACAUCGUACUUAUCAGCUAUGACCGUUAUCUCUCAGUUACAAAAGCGUUUCCACAAGAAUGUGUCCACUUGAACCGAACACCCUUUCUGAGGGCACUUGUCUUGCUGCGUUGCUAAGGGGAGGAACAUGAGCCUUCCACCAUGCCAGGGGGUCAGCAUUAGAGGAUAUCAUCAUCUUCCUCCUUUUCAUUCAGGAUGCCAGUCAUAUGCUCCAUAACAGGCUUCAAAGAUAACAGGGUGGUCUUUGUUUCAGAACCCAGUAGAUCUGUGAAGUCAUUUAGAGGCCAAAGAAGUUGGCAGACCAUCUCCAAAGUGUGCAAGUCAGUCUUUUGGCAUUAGAUGCCAUGAGUUUCAGCUGACCUACAGCUUUUGAUGAGGAUGGCUCUUUGCUGCUGAGUUACUGAUGCCUUAAAAAGAAGAAAAAUAAAGACUGACAUUUUAUAAUUUAACCCAAAUCUGUAAUUACAGUUAUUUAAUUUUAUUUUAUCUUUCCCAGACAUGUUUUAUCGUUUAUGUUAUUGAUUUUAUGUAAAAACAUAUAAUACUACUGCUAAGAAUAAUAUCAAAUAAUGUUGAAAUGUGGGUGGAAAAGAUCAGUUGGAAAUUGAGUACUACCACCAGGUUCCUUGCUGUCCUGGCUGGUGUUAGUGUUGUAGACCCCAGUUGCACAGUGAUGUUGUGGUCGACUGAUAGGUUUGCUGGGAUUAGGAGGAGCUCUGUCUUCACAAGUUUGAGCUGGAGAUGAUGCUGCUUCAUCCAAACAGAGAUAUCUAAAAGGCAGGCAGAGAUACGAGUGGAGACAGUGGGAUCAUCAGCUUCAAAUUAUAGAUAGGGCUGUGUAUCAUCUGCAUAGCAGUGGUAGGAGAAGCCCUGUGGCUUUAUGAUUGUUCCCAGUAAAGUUGUGUAAAUGCAGAAAAGAAGUGAGCAUUGAACCUUGAGGCACUCCAGUAAUUAGCUGAUGCUACUCAGCACCCCUUCUCUCCAUGAAACCUUGAAAGAUCUGCCUGUGAGGUGAAUCCGAAAAAGUAACGUACCCGUGAUGCCCAAGUCAGAAAGGGUGGACAAGAGAUUUUUGUGUUUUAUAGUUGUAGGGGGGCUCACACAGGGCACCAGUUAUGUAGGGGCUCUCGCAUGUGGCACCAAAAUAUUUUGAAUGUCUUUAUUGUCAUUGCACAUUUAAUGUACAACGAAAAUUGUUGUAAAGCUCACAUACAUAUCUUUUUUAUCUUGCACAAAUGCAUGUCUUUUUUCUUUUUCUUUUUUUUUUAAGUUUUUUUUUUUAGUUUGACCUAAGUGAUUAUUACAACUUUCCUCUUAACCCUUUAAGCCCUGAAGGCAUUUUUAGAGUUGUUUUUUCUUUCUUUUUUUUCUGAUUGACAUACACAAAAGUAAAGACUAAUAAUUCCAAUACUAUAGAGAGUCUCAAGGAGAGUCAAAAGGUAGUUAUUGUUUGAUAGAAAACUUUUUACAUCUCCAGAAGGGCUUGAUGUGUCAGUGAGAACCAGAGUGGACAGUGUGACGUUUCUUGAGAUGCAAGUAAGUCCACUUCCAGCUGGCCAACUUCUCUUCAGGUUGACUCCACCACCUCGGGGAGGAGUCUCCAUUCCCCUGGCCUCAGCCCCUGCCUCGACAGGAUGUCUGCUCCCUGAUUUUGGUACCCAGGGAUGUAGACAGCUCUCAGGGAGAGAAUACUUCCCUGAGAGCACAGGAGGAUCUGGUUUUAUCAGGUUACAGUACUUUUCAUUG